rnacentral:rRNA from 1 species
GAUGAACGCUGGCGGCGUGCUUAACACAUGCAAGUCGAACGAAGCAUUUGCGACAGAUUUUUUCGGAAUGAAGUUGCUUAUGACUGAGUGGCGGACGGGUGAGUAACGCGUGGGUAACCUGCCUUGUACUGGGGGAUAGCAGCUGGAAACGGCUGGUAAUACCGCAUAAGCGCACAAUGUUGCAUGACAUGGUGUGAAAAACUCCGGUGGUAUAAGAUGGACCCGCGUCUGAUUAGCUAGUUGGUGAGAUAACAGCCCACCAAGGCGACGACCAGUAGCCGACCUGAGAGGGUGACCGGCCACAUUGGGACUGAGACACGGCCCAGACUCCUACGGGAGGCAGCAGUGGGGAAUAUUGCACAAUGGAGGAAACUCUGAUGCAGCGACGCCGCGUGAGUGAAGAAGUAAUUCGUUAUGUAAAGCUCUAUCAGCAGGGAAGAUAGUGACGGUACCUGACGAAGAAGCUCCGGCUAAAUACGUG